UCUCCGCAUAGUUUUCUUUCACCCAAAAGCUUUGUUUUUCCCACGCCUUCUCCCUCACGGCCCGAGCUCCUCUCCAUCUCUCGCUUUCUCUCUCCAUCUCGAGCCCCCUCCUCUCACUCUCUCUCUACGGCCCAAGCCCCCUCUCAUGCUCUCUUUCGUGGGUUAAAAGCUCUCUCCCUCUCUCUCUUCGAAGGAACGCCCAAACUAAGGCCCGAGCUCUUUCCGUCUCUCUCUUCAAAAGAUACCAUUGGGCUCUCAAAAUCUUUUCCCAGCCCAAACCCGAUAGCCCUAUUUCCAUUUUUAGCUUACCCCAAAUCAGCCCCAUAUAAGUAAUACAAGACCCGGAACAACUACGAGGCACAAGGGAGCCAUCCACUUCAUAAGGUCAAAGGCAUGAGGAGAGAAAUAUACUUCGUAUUAAUGAAUCAACUCAAGCCUUAGCAAAAUGGAAGCUCGAUCAACAACAGGUAACUCUAAUUCAUAAGACUGGGUUGAGCCCAUUGAUGGAUAUUGGGGUCUCGCAUAUCGAUUGCAACCUAGUGAGGGCAUCGGUGAAAUGACUCCAAUAUUAUACGAUGUAUGGCAGAUAUUAAGGAUACCCAUGACAGGAAAGCCUGUAACCAACAUCAGGCCUGAAAACUAUAUUGUUUUUGUCAAGGAGUAUUUGGGAGAUUGCACUAAAGAUAUCACCCCGAUGCGUCUAAAUCAUACAUGGUUGAGUCGAUUCGGCUAACUACCAAAAAAACCACCAAAUUACAACUCACGCAAUACACACGAGCAUGUCUCCUUUAUUUAGUUGGAACAACUAUAUUUGCUGACUCAUUUAAAGGAUCGACACUUUCAAUAUAUCUGCAAUUGUUUCGAUAUUUUUAUGAGGCAGGGAAGUAUGCAUGGGGUACUGCAGCUCUUGCUUUCUUGUAUCGUUCCUUGUCUAAGGUAGCAGGUGGGAAAAAUAAUCAUUUUAGUGGGUCAGCAACCUUACUACAGGCAUUUCUCACUAUCUCUAUUAUGUAGGCUUCUUGCUUUUUUUCUUUUUCUACAAUGCUAGAUCUAUGAGCAUUUUCGAGCUCUAGCUACCAAGCCUGCAUUGGUCAUCAACCCAAAGAUGCCUAAGGCUUGC